rnacentral:rRNA from 1 species
CAAUAAGCGGAGGAAAAGAAACCAACAGGGAUUGCCCUAGUAACGGCGAGUGAAGCGGCACAGCUCAAAUUUGAAAUCUGGCUAUCUUACCGUAGUCCGAGUUGUAAUUUGUAGAGGAUGCUUUUGGUGAGGUGCCUUCCGAGUUCCCUGGAACGGGACGCCAUAGAGGGUGAGAGCCCCGUACGGUUGGAUACCAAGCCUUUGUAUAGCUCCUUCAACGAGUCGAGUAGUUUGGGAAUGCUGCUCUAAAUGGGAGGUAUAUCUCUUCUAAAGCUAAAUAUAGGCUAGAGACCGAUAGCGCACAAGUAGAGUGAUCGAAAGAUGAAAAGCACUUUGAAAAGAGAGUUAAACAGCACGUGAAAUUGUUGAAAGGGAAGCGCCUAUGACCAGACUUGUUUCUGGCAGUUUCGUUAGCCCUCGGGCUGAUUUACUCUGUCCAGUACAGGCCAGCAUCAGUUUGCUGUCGGGGAGAAAGGCUCUGGGAACGUAGCUCCCCCCUUCUGGGGGGGAGUGUUAUAGCCCUCUGCAUAAUACCCUUCGGCAGACUGAGGACCGCGCUUCGGCAAGGAUGCUGGCGUAUUGG